GACGAACGCUGGCGGCGUGCCUAAUACAUGCAAGUAGAACGCACAGUUUAUACCGUAGCUUGCUCCACCAUAGACUGUGAGUUGCGAACGGGUGAGUAACGCGUAGGUAACCUGCCUGGUAGCGGGGGAUAACUAUUGGAAACGAUAGCUAAUACCGCAUAAUAUUGAUUAUUGCAUGAUAAUUGAUUGAAAGAUGCUAUUGCAUCACUACCAGAUGGACCUGCGUUGUAUUAGCUAGUAGGUGAGGUAACGGCUCACCUAGGCGACGAUACAUAGCCGACCUGAGAGGGUGAUCGGCCACACUGGGACUGAGACACGGCCCAGACUCCUACGGGAGGCAGCAGUAGGGAAUCUUCGGCAAUGGACGAAAGUCUGACCGAGCAACGCCGCGUGAGUGAAGAAGGUUUUCGGAUCGUAAAGCUCUGUUGUAAGAGAAGAACGGGUGUGAGAGUGGAAAGUUCACACUGUGACGGUAGCUUACCAGAAAGGGACGGCUAACUACGUG
rnacentral:rRNA from 1 species